rnacentral:Y_RNA from 1 species
GUUUGAUUGGCAGUGGUGUUUACAAUCAACUGUCACCAGUUACAAAUUUCUUUCUUCCUUCGCCACUCCCACUGCUUCAUUUGAAUAGCCUGAA